AUAUUUUAUUCAUAAAGUGAUCGUGCGUAAAGUUCCUGCUGGAGUCUCCAUUUUUAGGGCCCGUGGACGCAUCUGACAAUUUCUCUUCAACUCAAUUUUUGUGCAGGGAGAGAAUCCAUCCCAGCAUGCUCCCUAUAUUCUGAUUUCUGCAAAAGAUAGACAGGAACAUGGGGAGGAUGUUUAUACAGUAAAAUGUAAACAUGUUCCCGGGCGUUUUUUUUUAAAUAAAAAUCACGCAAACGCCCCGUUAGAUCAGCUAAUACUCAAAUGGAUGCUCUUCUCUUCUCGUCUGUUUGCAUGCCUUCUCUGAUCACGUUGGAUUUUUUCCUCUUGGUCCUUUUUUUAACAAAUGAAUAUUGUUUGUGUAAUGCAGUCAUAAUAUUUACGCAGGGACGCUGGAGGAGUGAGGUGGAGGCUCAGCCGAGCUGGGAGCGCACAAACUCGGAUGAGGACUUGAAGUCCACUCCUGCACAUCCAGCUUGAGGCUGAAGGGGCAGGCGGCUCCAGUUUGGCCACAGGAAGCAGUGAGUUCUUCGGAGAAGGGCAGACGUCCCAAGAGGGGGGGGGGGGCUUUCUCCCCCCAUCCUCCUCCUCUAUUCACCCACUCACUACCCCAAAAUGACCCCUGACCCUUUCAUCUGUUUAUAUCAGAGCAUGGAAGUGAGAAAUAGUGAUGAGUCACUCUAGCCGUGUGUUUACACUCUGGAGUCACGCAAGGAAGGAAAUCAGCCACGGUCUGCUAAAAGUGGAGAGGUGAGAGGGCUGCUGUGAUUUACCUCUCAGGACUAGAAUUGAUUUUGCGUCAUCCCUGCUGAGAAAACGCUUCACCCCGCAGACAGCAGCUUUAGCGGCGCGGAGGACUGCGGUGAGGCCGACGGCGAGGGUCGGAGCGUAGAGUGUCAGCGGCCCGCUCACUACACCCUCCCUGCACAUUGUUUAAGGAGAUUAAACCACAAGAAAACUCACAGUAGAUCUAAAUAUUAGACAAUUCUUAUGAAUUAUUGACAGAUACGUGGCUCCAUGAUUGCCGCCUGGAAUCAGGCCCGUCUUGGAAACAUCACAUUCUGGGUUUCGUUUUGAGAAAGUGGUUUCAUUUUGAUUAUUGUACAUUUCAGACUACAAUUAUUCAUUGACUUGAGUUACAGAAAAAGCUUAAUGACGUUCACGCCCUUGUUGUGUUCAAAUGACGGCUACUUAUUUUUUUUGUUAUUUCGUUUGUUGAUUCUUUAUGACAUUCCAAGUCUGGCACCUUCAUUAAACUUCAGAUGUGUUGGCCAUAGAUUAAAAAAGAGAAACUUUUCAUAAUGAAGUGAUGAGUUGAUUGUAUGACAGAUGGGUUUCAGUGAUAUAUAUUUAUCAUGUUAGCGGCUUAGAUAAACCAGGCAAUUUAGAUUUUGACGGUUGACAUUUACUUGUAGCUCCUAAACAGUUUUGACACAACAGUUUUGCGCAUCAGGUUGUCUCUCGGUGAUUGUAUCCUAAAAAUGACGUGAUGCAUGUCAGUUCAUGGGAUUAUAACAGGUUUUUAUGUGGCGGCUGUGUAAACGGCCUUGGCACACGUGCUCCGAAGGGCCUUUUCGCUCCGUGUCAUGUGAGGCGUGUGUUUACUGCGGCCUCCGCUGCUCUCAAACACAGUGUCAUCCCCGACAAGGGAUUUUACAUUUCGUCUGGGGACGGCUAUUGUUUUCAUGAAGUCACUGCCAUGGAGUUUAGUAAAUAAAAGUGACACCGUGCUUCUUUGGUGUGAGCAGCGUCCCUGCUGACUCCAGAAAGAAGUAUCCUUUUACACACCCCCAUACGCACCGCCACAAUGAUAGAGUCGGCGGCUCUUAUUUUUGCCGAUCUCUCCUGAAUUGUAAGCACUGUCAUGGGCUUUGAUUGAUAGCUGUGUUUAUCACCAUAUUAUUAAGUAAUCAGACUCACCACAGCUGGGCCUACAGCUCCUUAAUUCCAGCUGAAGCACACAGUUUCAUGCUAAUUAAAGGUUGGCUAAAUGGCUUUUGUGAAUUUUUUAAAAUAUAGUUCUUUCUUUUUCAGCUGCUGAUUGUUGGAUUUGCAUUCUGUCUGGAGGAAUUUAGCAACAACCUUCAGUACAGUACAGAUGAGACUGUAGGGGAUGAAUGUGGGAUAUAAUUCUAGCUUUUCUGAAAAACUGUAACUUCUAAAAAUUAAUAUAUCGAUGUAGAUCUGUCAAGAUUGAUUUUUCUUUGUAAAUCCAGUGCAUGUGGUGCUGGAAUAAUCCUGAGGUAAAUGCUGCCAUGGCAGAGAAAAGAUGAUCAUGAGGGUUUUUUAAAGAACUGGCAGCUCUGUCUAUGCUCUUUUUUAUGAUGAAUAUCAAUUUACUAAUAGAUUAUUUUUUAAAAAUAUAAAUACAAGUUUGGUUGUGGGCAGUUUGAGUGAGGGAACAAUCAGGCAGCUGAUGUUUCAUGUUGGAAAAUCCAGUUCUGUCCCUCUUUUUGAAGCAACUGAGGGAAGGAGUGCUCAAAUGACUGUGUCCAGGAGUUAUAUAAAAUUAAAGUAUAAUGAACAAAAUAAAAAGAUUUUUUUUCUUUUGCCUUUGCUGUCAAUGUUUUUCUUUGUUGUUCUCUUCUGUAAUCCCUAAUUUUGCAGGAACAGGUUUAAAUAAAUGUAAAAUUGUUUUAGUAAAUCCAGAAAAAAGCGCACCAAAUAAUUAGUUUUAUUUACUGUACAAGAAUAGUAAUAACAUUACAAAAAAGAGAACAUGUUUUUCUUGGAAUUGUUAAUUAAAAAGAGUUUUUUAGUGAGGUACGUUUAGAAAAUGAUCUUGUUAAUUUUGGUUUUGUUAGCUCAUAAAAAUGUUAUUUUAUUUUAUUGGAAAGAUGUGCAAUAAUUAUUAAUAAUGAGUAUUUCCUCUCAAUUAUCAACCUCUGUUUUACUUUUCACACCUUAAGUAUGUGAUUGAAUGCGUAUAUUGUGUUUUCUAUCUGCUGAAAGGAGUGAUAUUUCAAUUGAUCGUUUUAUGCUUUUAUCAAUAAAUUGAAUGAAAUACA